ACGACAGGAUGCUCGACUUCUCAGCUCUCCAUCCCUCACCCCUCUUUCUCUCUUUUCUCUGUCAGCCUCUUCCUUGCUGUCAGUGCUAACAUCCUCAUUUCUCUCACUCGUCUUUGACUUCUUCCUGGAAAGAAAGCCUUUGGUGUUGCCUUGGGGAGCCAACAGGUGUGCAUGGAUUAGUUCUCUAUGAGUGCAGUGCAGUCAGUGUUCUAAGGACAUUUCUCUCCUUUAUUCAGAAGAUGGAGAAGAAAUGUCACUGGAUCAAGGCGCAUCGGAUUUGCCAUUUUUCUUGCUUAUUGCUUAAUGUCGGAGUAUCACAAGCAGGAGACGAUACAGAGGAAGGCAAGUGAUGCAGGUGGAGGGGUGAUGUCAAACGUCAGCAUCAGCAACAUGAUGGGAUGACGACAAGGUGCCACUGAGCAACAACAUGGCUCCUUCCUGAUGAAUUCAUGGAUGCUGCACCUUUUGUAACUUUAACGGACGGACGCUUUGGAGAUUAAUUAGUGUGCAUGGUUUAAUCCUUCAACUUGGGUAAAGGAGAGCAGCACAAAUAUUCUGACAUACAAUAGAUUGGAAAUGAAACGGAUGACAUCACAAUACUUUGGACCAGUGGAGCACUAACAAAAGGAAUAUGACUUUGUCUUUACAGCUUAAUGGGGGUGAUGUGAAAAUGGCUGGAGCUCCAAAGUUGUCUGGAAAUCCACCUGGCGAACUGUCGGGACAAAAGCUCAAGAAAGUGCUGGUUUUGGUCUGAACACCUCCCAGUUGCCAGGGUUUAUGUAGCGACGAUCGACCUUAACCCCUUGUGAUCCUGCACACAAGAGUUCAGUAAAGGACACAUGGCAGCCCAAUGAGACAACAGGACAACAGAAGCAUUCAACAGCUGCAGGAUUUCUCAUUCUCGGAUGAAAAAUGACAUUAAGAUCUCAGAUUGCUUUGGGGAAAUUCUACUUGAAAAGACGACCUCUGUGGAAUUUCACUGAUUUACAACGGACAUGAAACCUUAAAAGAAGCUGCAUCUGAUGUGUCUCAUCCAUGUCCUGAUGAGUAGACACUAACGCUGACUGCAUGACUCAGGAACUGUGGGAACUGGUCCUCCUGAACUACAACCGCUUUCAUGCAUCCAAAACCACAGAAGGUAAAGUACUUAUUCUGCACACAAGUGGUGCUGAAGUCUCUUUUUGAAGACGGACAGCACAAACCACUGUAUCCUUCCUGCUGUUGUCAGGUGGCUGGAAGACCAGAAAGGCCUUCACAGCUUGGAGGACAAACCCCUCCUUCAGUUUCAACUGAAAUCUUACUGCGUGUUUCAUUUCUGCUACAUCAAACAUAUCGGAAUAAAUCCAAGAAUGCAGUGAAGUGCCACUUUGAUUAACAACUGGUGCUAAAGAAGUCAUAUGGCUGUGAAGAUAUUGAACUGUUAGCUGCAUCUAUGCUACGUACCCGUGGAAUUUUACGUUAUUCACCGACUGAGACUCUGGACUGCACUCUUUGCUUUAUUGUAUCGUAUUUCUUGCAUAAUAUGCAUCUUCCACAACAACUUCUUGCAUAAAGGUCACAGAUGACCAACUAGUAACAACCAAAAGAUUAGCUUUCCUGUUGAAAUAUCCAACAUGAACAUCUUGUCCUCCAACUUUGUGUGUUUAACGAAGCGCCAAACAAACUUUCAGACGAGGAGUGUCCAGCUGACAUCAUGAUGCAGCACAGAUGGCUAAUAAUCUGCAAAAAUCUGGGCCCUGUAAAGCCUCAGCAGGCCCCUUUUCCUUCUUAUACAUCCACUGUUGCACUUAGUUACUAAACAAGCCCAUGUAUCUGCUGUUGUUUGGACAAGUACCAGUGAAGUGCUCUUCUUCCUCGCCGUACUGUGAGAAACUGAUGAUGCAGUCAGAAAGAAAUCUUUAAGUUUUACGUUGGUUAGUUUUACUGUGCCUACCAACACCACAUUUUCCAUUAUCCGCAUUUCCACAAAAAAUCUUUAUUCUUAUCUUUAUUCUUUCUUUUAAUAUUAAUGAAAUAUUAAUGUCUAAAAAGAUGGACUAAAGAUUUUUUUUAAUUAUAAAAGAAGGAGGAAAUGUGAUUAGUUGGAUUUCAGCCCUUUCAAUCUGCGCUUUUGUAUUUCCCUAUUAUGUGUUUCUAAUUUAUUUUUCAGAAUAACCAGCACUACUUAAAAUGUUUUAUUUGAAGUACUUGGCUGCAGGUAAACUAAUCAAGUGCAACAACAGAGAUUUACUUAUUAAUUUGAACCACUGACAUAACUAUGACUCAUUAAAGCGUUGUCUUCACCAACCAAUAACACAGAAGUAGCUCUACAGAGUUUCAUUUUCAAAUACAGAGAAGACAACAUGAAAGAUGUCCAGAAGAAUUUCUGAUGAGAUCAAUUCAACCAGAACAACUAUUCCUCCACUAUGUGUAAAGCGUUUACACGUCUUCACUUAAUCCUGUUCAAAUGUGAACACUUCCAUGUGCCUCUGAAUAAUGUUUGUUGUUGUCUUUAUCAUUUUGGAGCCUCACUUUAAAAAAAAAAACACGUAAACAACCAUCCUCAAACAUGCCAUGGUUUCUUGACACUGCAUCUCCAGUGCUUCCAUGAUUAUGUUUAUACCCACUGGUGGUCAAAACCCUGAAAUUGCUUCACUGGAUUUUGCUUAUUUGGAGCCAUUUGAGGGGCAGUAACUCAGCAUGGCAAAAACCAUCACACGGGAAUCAAGAACUGAUAAUGUGAGAGAGCAAAUGACUGUGUUCCGUGAUCACACAGAGUCAGCACAAAGGCAGCGACUCUCAACCCAUCCUAGACCGUGCUGUAAAUAAAAGCAUCCAAACGUCCCUGAGAAGCCGUCGCUCUGAACCAGAUGCUUCUCUUCAUCAGCUGUCAAUUGAGUCCUUUAGCAGAAACCUGAAGACUGAACAACAGAGUUAAUUCACUGAGCCUCAGCGUGACAAAGUCCCUCUCCCUGCUCACCAUGAAAUCAAUAGACGAAUAGAUGCUACAUUAGAAAAUGGAGCAAAGUGUCGUCACUGUCAAGAUAUUAUUUGGUCAGUGUGAGAUACUUCCAUCCAUUCUCUGAUCUGAUUGCAGCCUCUAAAGAAUUCCUCUGCAGGAUUUUUCUUGUUGCUGCUGCCUCUGUGUCCACGUGUUUCUGUGCUGGAAGCAAAAAAAAAAAAAAAAAGGCAGCGAGAGGAGGUUGUCACAGCGAGCGCAAAAACAGAGCAGACGAGCCACUUAACAGCACUAUACCCAACUGGUGCAAGGGAGCGAGAGGAAAAUCCAGCCAUGCCAGCGUGCCAAUAUAGUUUACCAGCUCGCUGAGAGGCGGGCAGCACCUGACAGAUGCCACUUGGAGCAUAAUUCCAGUGGGCUGAAAAGAUCCUCUACAUGACGGGAAGCCAGAGAAGCGGGAGGAGACCGGAAUACCCAACAACUAAACGCAGUGUUAAUGUUGUCUGUGCAUCUAUUGCAUCCAUUCCUUCCUGUUUUACUGUGUUUAGAAGCUGAGGAAACAAAAUGCAAAGAAAAAACUGAUGCUGUUAAUAAAUGGUGACUUGUUUCAGAUCUCAAUAUGUUCAGAUUUACUGUGUUUCUUUGUCUUGUGUGAUAAUAAACGGAAUAUCUUGA